GCAAACUUGGUCAUUUAGAGGAAGUAAAAGUCGUAACAAGGUUUCCGUAGGUGAACCUGCGGAAGGAUCAUUACUGAGAGAGGGGCUUCGCGCUCCCGGGGGUUUCGGCCCUCAACUCUUCACCCUAUGUCUAUCUACCUUCGUUGCUUUGGCGGGCCAUGAGGUUUGCCACGCGCUGGCCUUUGGGCCGGUGAGCGCCCGUCAGAGGCUCUUUAAAUUCUUUUUGUUAGUGAUGUCCGAGUCUUAAAAACAAUAAUGAAAAACUUUCAACAACGGAUCUCUUGGUUCCAGCAUCGAUGAAGAACGCAGC
rnacentral:misc_RNA from 1 species